rnacentral:rRNA from 1 species
CGCUGGCGGCAGGCCUAACACAUGCAAGUCGAGCGCGCCCUUCGGGGUGAGCGGCGGACGGGUUAGUAACGCGUGGGAACGUACCCUUUGGUAGGGAAUAGCCACUGGAAACGGUGAGUAAUACCCUAUGAGCCCUUCGGGGGAAAGAUUUAUCGCCAAAGGAUCGGCCCGCGUUAGAUUAGGUAGUUGGUGGGGUAACGGCCUACCAAGCCUACGAUCUAUAGCUGGUUUUAGAGGAUGAUCAGCAACACUGGGACUGAGACACGGCCCAGACUCCUACGGGAGGCAGCAGUGGGGAAUCUUGGACAAUGGGGGCAACCCUGGUCCCAGCCAUGCCGCGUGAGUGAAGAAGGCCUUAGGGUCGUAAAGCUCUUUCGCCUGUGAAGAUAAUGACGGUAGCAGGUAAAGAAACCCCGGCUAACUCCGUGCCAGCCGCUGC